AUUAGACGAAUCAUCUGGAAAGAUGAAUCAAAGAAGGUAAUAAUCCUGUAGUCGAAAAUGUUGUCUCUCUUGAGUGGAUCCUGAGUACGACGGAGCACGUGAAAUUCCGUCGGAAUCUGGGAGGACCAUCUCCUAAGGCUAAAUACUCUCUAGUGACCGAUAGUGAACCAGUACCGUGAGGGAAAGGUGAAAAGCACCCCGGAAGGGGAGUGAAAUAGAACCUGAAACCGUGUGCUUACAAGUAGUCAGAGCCCGUUAAUGGGUGAUGGCGUGCCUUUUGUAGAAUGAACCGGCGAGUUACGAUUUGAUGCAAGGUUAAGCAGUAAAUGUGGAGCCGUAGCGAAAGCGAGUCUGAAUAGGGCGUUUAGUAUUUGGUCGUAGACCCGAAACCAGGUGAUCUACCCUUGGUCAGGUUGAAGUUCAGGUAACACUGAAUGGAGGACCGAACCGACUUACGUUGAAAAGUGAGCGGAUGAACUGAGGGUAGCGGAGAAAUUCCAAUCGAACCUGGAGAUAGCUGGUUCUCUCCGAAAUAGCUUUAGGGCUAGCCUCAAGUGAUGAUUAUUGGAGGUAGAGCACUGUUUGGACGAGGGGCCCCUCUCGGGUUACCGAAUUCAGACAAACUCCGAAUGCCAAUUAAUUUAACUUGGGAGUCAGAACAUGGGUGAUAAGGUCCGUGUUCGAAAGGGAAACAGCCCAGACCACCAGCUAAGGUCCCAAAAUAUAUGUUAAGUGGAAAAGGAUGUGGCGUUGCCCAGACAACUAGGAUGUUGGCUUAGAAGCAGCCAUCAUUUAAAGAGUGCGUAAUAGCUCACUAGUCGAGUGACACUGCGCCGAAAAUGUACCGGGGCUAAACAUAUUACCGAAGCUGUGGAUUGUCCUUUGGACAAUGGUAGGAGAGCGUUCUAAGGGCGUUGAAGCAUGAUCGUAAGGACAUGUGGAGCGCUUAGAAGUGAGAAUGCCGGUGUGAGUAGCGAAAGACGGGUGAGAAUCCCGUCCACCGAUUGACUAAGGUUUCCAGAGGAAGGCUCGUCCGCUCUGGGUUAGUCGGGUCCUAAGCUGAGGCCGACAGGCGUAGGCGAUGGAUAACAGGUUGAUAUUCCUGUACCACCUAUAAUCGUUUUAAUCGAUGGGGGGACGCAGUAGGAUAGGCGAAGCGUGCGAUUGGAUUGCACGUCUAAGCAGUAAGGCUGAGUAUUAGGCAAAUCCGGUACUCGUUAAGGCUGAGCUGUGAUGGGGAGAAGACAUUGAGUCUUCGAGUCGUUGAUUUCACACUGCCGAGAAAAGCCUCUAGAUAGAAAAUAGGUGCCCGUACCGCAAACCGACACAGGUAGUCAAGAUGAGAAUUCUAAGGUGAGCGAGCGAACUCUCGUUAAGGAACUCGGCAAAAUGACCCCGUAACUUCGGGAGAAGGGGUGCUCUUUAGGGUUAACGCCCAGAAGAGCCGCAGUGAAUAGGCCCAAGCGACUGUUUAUCAAAAACACAGGUCUCUGCUAAACCGUAAGGUGAUGUAUAGGGGCUGACGCCUGCCCGGUGCUGGAAGGUUAAGAGGAGUGGUUAGCUUCUGCGAAGCUACGAAUCGAAGCCCCAGUAAACGGCGGCCGUAACUAUAACGGUCCUAAGGUAGCGAAAUUCCUUGUCGGGUAAGUUCCGACCCGCA
rnacentral:rRNA from 1 species